rnacentral:lncRNA from 1 species
AAGCAACAUCUCCUCAGUUGUAAAAAGGAGUUUCCAAGUCUCAGUCAGUCUGUUAGUUUACCAAUCUUGUUGCUGAAGUUGGAAGAGAUGGAUCUCAAUACCUUAGCCAAACGCGUACUUGCCACUUCCACUAAUGGGUUCUCAAGUAAAGAUAAAGAAAGGAUUAAGUGUAGUUUAGUAUCCAUUCAAACUAAACUGAUGGCUGCUCAGUGCUACAAAAUGAGGCCUCAAAAAUUCAAGGGUGAUGUAAUAAUUGUCAAACAGCAAAGCUCUUCAUCAGGAGUGUGUAUGGAACUUCUCCAGAAUCUGAAUGAAAACCAGUAUGUAUAUUUCUCUGCUGCGGAGAGCUAUGAAUGUUUAGUCAAUGAUCCUGAAGUUGCCACCUUAAUUAAUGAAAAUGCAACAAUGGACUGGAUGUAGCAUUCUUUUCUUCAGAGGUUUUUUCGAUCUCGUUAAGUUCUUCCCCUGUCUUCUCUUUUGAGUGAAAGUUCUCUCCGAGAAUGUGGAGUUGCCUCUGUAAAGUAGUGAAAUGGAUGCAAAAUAUUAUAAAAUCUCUCUUUCAAUAGGUGUCAAAGUAAGCCUCGAAUAGGAAUUUUGCUGUGUAAAAUUUUCAUUUUAAAAAUGCAAAUUUUCCGUGUGAGCUUUAAUUUGACUCAGAAUUUGCAAUCCAACAAUGAAAAAUUAGGCCACUUUGAACUGUUUUACUUGUAUGGCACACCAGGAUUUUUUUCCUCUUUUUUUCUCUCUUUCUUUGGUGAAAGGAAAUAUUAGAGCUAUUUGGGAAAAAUAAGUAUUUUAUUAAAACAUAGAAGUGGAUAUAGACUGAUUACAAUAUUAGGCCUGAAAAUUAUAUUGCAUAUCCAUAUCUAAAAUAAAGAAAUGCGUAUCUUCUAUAAUUUGGACACAGCAAUUCUCUGUUCAUGUUUUAUAUUUUCAAAUACUACUAUCUUGUAACUGUUCCUUGUGCUUCUCAGCAAGACCAGCCGUUGGCUUUGAAAUAUAUGAACAUAACGACUGAUUGCUAGCAGGUGCAGCCACUGGUCUCUCCAUUUCUAUUCAGUUCUAUUUCUGUUUCUCUCUGCAUUGUCUAUGAAUUUCCUUCAUUCAUUCAAAAAUAUUUUGAUUUUACUAUUUAGCUAAAGAGUUUAGAAGAUAUUUUCGUUGGUUCUCUUUAAAGAAAAAAAAUUCAAGGAAAACAUAAAAUUAAUUUAGAGAUUUUUGAACAUUGCUUGAAGAUAUGCAUUUUCGACUGUGGUCAUCGAUAUUUAAGCUCUUUUGAAUGUGUGUUUUUCUCAGUGUUCAUCUAUACCCAAUUUUUUUAUUUUUUAUAUAGCUUUCAUAAAGAUGCUGUUUAUCAUUGCGAAAAAAUGAAAAUCACAUUUUUUGUCAGACUUAUUAUUUAAGAAGAAUUUUAUGUGCACUCCAAAGUAUAAUGAUUAUGAAGCCCUUCUCGCAUUUAUCAGACUGGGCACAAAAUGUUUCUUUAAGAAAGAUUAAAAGUCAUUUAAUGCUGAAAUAAAUGCUUUAUUUAUUCAAUUUAUUAUUAUUUCUUUAAAAAAUACCCCAUGGCCCUUUUACUUUUCAGUUGAGACAUUUUUUCUCAC